GCGAUGAGCUAAUUCGUGUAAGACGGACGAUAUUCCUUCGGGAUAAACGUGUGAAUGUGGUCACACGGUCUCCGCCUCGAACGCAUCAAAGACGUCUGUCACGUACAGGCGUC
rnacentral:sRNA from 1 species